AAGUGAGAAUGCCGGUGUGAGUAGCGAAAGACGGGUGAGAAUCCCGUCCACCGAUUGACUAAGGUUUCCAGAGGAAGGCUCGUCCGCUCUGGGUUAGUCGGGUCCUAAGCUGAGGCCGACAGGCGUAGGCGAUGGAUAACAGGUUGAUAUUCCUGUACCACCUAUAAUCGUUUUAAUCGAUGGGGGGACGCAGUAGGAUAGGCGAAGCGUGCGAUUGGAUUGCACGUCUAAGCAGUAAGGCUGAGUAUUAGGCAAAUCCGGUACUCGUUAAGGCUGAGCUGUGAUGGGGAGAAGACAUUGUGUCUUCGAGUCGUUGAUUUCACACUGCCGAGAAAAGCCUCUAGAUAGAAAAUAGGUGCCCGUACCGCAAACCGACACAGGUAGUCAAGAUGAGAAUUCUAAGGUGAGCGAGCGAACUCUCGUUAAGGAACUCGGCAAAAUGACCCCGUAACUUCGGGAGAAGGGGUGCUCUUUAGGGUUAACGCCCAGAAGAGCCGCAGUGAAUAGGCCCAAGCGACUGUUUAUCAAAAACACAGGUCUCUGCUAAACCGUAAGGUGAUGUAUAGGGGCUGACGCCUGCCCGGUGCUGGAAGGUUAAGAGGAGUGGUUAGCUUCUGCGAAGCUACGAAUCGAAGCCCCAGUAAACGGCGGCCGUAACUAUAACGGUCCUAAGGUAGCGAAAUUCCUUGUCGGGUAAGUUCCGACCCGCACGAAAGGCGUAACGAUUUGGGCACUGUCUCAACGAGAGACUCGGUGAAAUCAUAGUACCUGUGAAGAUGCAGGUUACCCGCGACAGGACGGAAAGACCCCGUGGAGCUUUACUGUAGCCUGAUAUUGAAAUUCGGCACAGCUUGUACAGGAUAGGUA
rnacentral:rRNA from 1 species